CUUUGGCUUAUCUACUGCGCCCAGGGUCUUUACAAAGUGCCUGGCACCAGUAAUUGCAUUUUGCAGACAAAAAAGUAUUCAAAUAUAUCCUUACUUGGACGACUGUCUCAUUCAAGCAGCGAACAAGGACACUCUUCAACACCUGGCAUUUGUAAAGAG